GUCGAACGCUGGCGGCGUGCUUAACACAUGCAAGUCGAACGGAGCGGAGGACGGGUGAGUAAUGCCUAGGAAUCUGACUGGUCGUGGGGGAUAACGUCCGGAAACGGGCGCUAGUACCUACUACUAGCAGAUGAGUGUAGGGGGGAUUAGCUAGUUGGUGGGGUAAAGGCCUACCAAGGCGACGAUCUGUAACUGGUCUGAGAGGAUGAUCAGUCACACUGGAACUGAGACACGGCCCAGACUCCUACGGGAGGCAGCAGUGGGGAAUAUUGGACAAUGGGCGAAAGCCUGAUCCAGCCAUGCCGCGUGUGUGAAGAAGGUCUUCGGAUUGUAAAGCACUUUAAGUUGGGAGGCGUUACCAACAGAAUAAGCACCGGCUAACUUCGUGCCAGCAGCCGCGGUAAUUC
rnacentral:rRNA from 1 species